rnacentral:rRNA from 1 species
AACUUACAUCUACAAACGCCGGGGAAUUACGAGCUACGCUUAAAACCCAAAGGAUUUGACGGUGUCCCACCCCCCUAGAGGAGCCUGUUCUAUAAUCGAUAAUACCCGCUAUACCCAACCACCUCUCGCUAUUCAGUCUGUAUACCUCCGUCGAAAGCUUACCAUGUGAACGCCUACAGUAAGUACAAUGGCUACCAACGUCAACACGUCAGGUCAAGGUGCAGCUUAAGUGGUGGAAAGUAAUUGGCUACAAUUUCUAACCUAGAACAAACGGAAGGCUAUGUGAAACCAUAGUUCUGAAGGCGGAUUUAGUAGUAAAAAGAAAAUAGAGCGUUCUUUUUAACCCGGCUCUGGGACGCGUACACACCGCCCGUCA